AUUUCUGCUGAUGUGUGGUGCUUCAUAAGAUGGGGACGUUAAGCAUGCAGCAACUACAGUCAUUUGUUCUCAGAGGUCUGGACCAAAGAGAAACAAGAAAAGCUGGAGUCACACUACCAAAGGCCGAAGCUGAGCAACAGAGCUCUGGAGUCAGCUGCCUGGGUUCAGCAUGCAGCGCUGCCGUGGACGAUCUGUCUCUCUUGCAUAUAUGACUUACCAGUUUUACUUUCAGUCUCUCCAUUUCUAAUUAAAUGAGAUGCAGAAAUGCUGGUGCCUUGCUA